AGAUUUUGCUAAGAAGGCACCAGGAACAGCAAGAAGGAGUUCUGUCCCCAAGGUGUUCUCAGACUUAAUCUAUGUAUCUAUUGUUGCUAUACACACAGAGCUUCAGUGACAAUAUGCUCAAAGGAAGCCCAAGAGUGGAAAGGAUGACAGGCACCCCAAGAGGUCUCUAGGAAUUGACUCUAAAUGCAGGCUUUAAAAAUGAGUAGGCAGGGAAACAACAAAGAAUGUAGUCAGAGUGACAGCAGGGUACAAAGGCACAGUCACUGGAGCAGACUGUAGGGGGCAAUACUGGCACAGUGGGGAUGCAAGAAUCACUCAGUGGCUGGGGAGGGAGGGGCGUGUUGGUAGGAGCCUCCUGGCUUGUGUUCCUUUGUCUGACUACAGUUGAAUCUAACCAGAAACCUUCCUAGUUAGAUUACAUAAAGAUACAGAGAAGAGAGAUGGGGGCUUUGUGGAAGGGAUAUCCAAGCAUCUUCAAGGCUGAAUUUAAGCAGUGGCCCCAUAACUUUCUCUCCCUCACUCCCAAAAGCCCCACCUCACUCCUAAGGAUCCCUCCAUCAGAGCCUCCAUAAUAAGGAACAGAAGACUCUAGGAACACCCUCCGUAGUUGGUGCAUCCUUACCCCAUUAAAUUCAUGGAAAUCGCGUGUUUCAGUCCUUGCUUUCAACAUAGAAGCUGAAGACCACUUCUGGGAGUGUGGUUGCCUCGAUCACCAAAAUGCACAUUGGUGGAACUGUUUGGGGAGGAUUAGGAGGUGUGACCUUGUUGAAAUCAGUCCCAGUGGGUCCCUCUCUCUGCCUCUGUGUACUUUACCAUGAUGUAAGCCGUCAGCUGCCCCUGCCACUGUGCCUUGCUGAGCAUGAUGGGCUCUAACCCUCUGAAACCAAAAAUCCACAUUAAACAUUUUCUUUCCUAAA